UACGUAGGUGGCUAGCGUUGUCCGGAUUUACUGGGCUUAAAGCGCGCGCAGGCGGUCGUUCAAGUCGAGUGUGAAAGCCCCCGGCUCAACUGGGGAGGGUCACUCGAUACUGAUCGACUUGAAGGCAGAAGAGGGAAGCGGAAUUCCCGGUGUAGAGGUGAAAUUCGUAGAUAUCGGGAGGAACACCAGUGGCGAAGGCGGCGAUCUGGGCUGAUACUGACGCUGAGGUGCGAAAGCGUGGGGAGCAAACAGG
rnacentral:rRNA from 1 species